UACGAAGGGGGCUAGCGUUGCUCGGAAUCACUGGGCGUAAAGCGCACGUAGGCGGCUUACUAAGUCAGGGGUGAAAUCCUGGAGCUCAACUCCAGAACUGCCUUUGAUACUGGUGAGCUUGAGUCCGGAAGAGGUGAGUGGAACUGCGAGUGUAGAGGUGAAAUUCGUAGAUAUUCGCAAGAACACCAGUGGCGAAGGCGGCUCACUGGUCCGGUACUGACGCUGAGGUGCGAAAGCAUGGGAGCGAACGAGGAUUGAUG
rnacentral:rRNA from 1 species